CCUCUGCCAAUGGCAUUCUCCAGCCGGCUUGGUGAGCUGCUAAAGCAGAAUUCAAGAUGAACCCCCUGCUGAUUUGCACUUCCAUCAGCCCGGAUCCUCACCGCCGUUGAAUGCUGUAUCACAUGACCAAAGAUGCCCUAGUACCUUCUGAUGGACUGGAUGAAGAAGUGGGGCGACACAAGUCAACGGGAGAAUCAGGGAGCCAAAGGAAAUGGAAAUCAAGAAAAUGCAAAUGCUGGAAACUCGGAAGUCCAGGGGCACCAAACUGUAAGAUCCUCUCCGCUGCCUGACCAAGAGCUGCCAAAACUCAUUCAGCAUGCAAAUCCAAGGCAUAAUGGAAUAAGAUACAGCUGAGAUUCUAGCACCCCUGGAGAACUGAGAGCAAAUUAACCCAGAGUGAUAUCUGCCAACGUCACCAGUGACCUACCAGUCAAAUCUUUCCCGUGUGCUUUCGCAUUGCUGUUCCCAUUGAGGUCACCAUAUUGUCGC